rnacentral:rRNA from 1 species
CAGGCUUAACACAUGCAAGUCGAGGGGCAGCAUUUUAGUUUGCUUGCAAACUGAAGAUGGCGACCGGCGCACGGGUGAGUAACACGUAUCCAACCUGCCGAUAACUCCGGAAUAGCCUUUCGAAAGAAAGAUUAAUACUGGAUAGCAUACGAAUAUCGCAUGAUAUUUUUAUUAAAGAAUUUCGGUUAUCGAUGGGGAUGCGUUCCAUUAGUUUGUUGGCGGGGUAACGGCCCACCAAGACUACGAUGGAUAGGGGUUCUGAGAGGAAGGUCCCCCACAUUGGAACUGAGACACGGUCCAAACUCCUACGGGAGGCAGCAGUGAGGAAUAUUGGUCAAUGGGCGAGAGCCUGAACCAGCCAAGUAGCGUGAAGGAUGAAGGCUCUAUGGGUCGUAAACUUCUUUUAUAUGGGAAUAAAGUUUUCCACGUGUGGAAUUUUGUAUGUACCAUAUGAAUAAGGAUCGGCUAACUCCGUGCCAGCAGCCGCGGUAAUACGGAGGAUCCGAGCGUUAUCCGGAUUUAUUGGGUUUAAAGGGAGCGUAGGUGGAUUGUUAAGUCAGUUGUGAAAGUUUGCGGCUCAACCGUAAAAUUGCAGUUGAAACUGGCAGUCUUGAGUACAGUAGAGGUGGGCGGAAUUCGUGGUGUAGCGGUGAAAUGCUUAGAUAUCACGAAGAACUCCGAUUGCGAAGGCAGCUCACUAGACUGUCACUGACACUGAUGCUCGAAAGUGUGGGUAUCAAACAGGAUUAGAUACCCUGGUAGUCCACACAGUAAACGAUGAAUACUCGCUGUUUGCGAUAUACAGUAAGCGGCCAAGCGAAAGCAUUAAGUACUCCACCUGGGGAGUACGCCGGCAACGGUGAAACUCAAAGGAAUUGACGGGGGCCCGCACAAGCGGAGGAACAUGUGGUUUAAUUCGAUGAUACGCGAGGAACCUUACCCGGGCUUAAAUUGCAACAGAAUAUAUUGGAAACAGUAUAGCCGUAAGGCUGUUGUGAAGGUGCUGCAUGGUUGUCGUCAGCUCGUGCCGUGAGGUGUCGGCUUAAGUGCCAUAACGAGCGCAACCCUUACCUUUAGUUACUAACAGGUUAUGCUGAGGACUCUAGAGAGACUGCCGUCGUAAGAUGUGAGGAAGGUGGGGAUGACGUCAAAUCAGCACGGCCCUUACGUCCGGGGCUACACACGUGUUACAAUGGGGGGUACAGAAGGCGGCUACCUGGUGACAGGAUGCUAAUCCCAAAAACCUCUCUCAGUUCGGAUCGAAGUCUGCAACCCGACUUCGUGAAGCUGGAUUCGCUAGUAAUCGCGCAUCAGCCAUGGCGCGGUGAAUACGUUCCCGGGCCUUGUACACACCGCCCGUCAAGCCAUGAAAGCCGGGGGUACCUGAAGUACGUAACCGCAAGGAGCGUCCUAGGGUAAAACUGGUAAUUGGGGCUAAGUCGU